rnacentral:lncRNA from 1 species
CCCUCCUCCCAACAUAAUUAACUUUAUCCUUAAUGGAAAAAGAAAAAUAAAGUGUGGUAACUAAAAAAGGAGUUCACCUGGGCUUAAUUUGUUCUUGGCUCAGCUUGGGUGUUCAGAUAUCCUUGAGUGUGUAUAUUUGGCUCUCUCCCUAACUUAUUCAAUAUAGUCCUCAUUGAAGUAAAAUUUAAAUAAAUUGAAAAGAAAAAACUAAAAUGC